AUGGCCAGCUUCGCCUCCCAGCUCCUGGAUGUGUUCUACGACCUCGUCGAGCGCGUCACCGGCUACAGCGUCCGCCCCGACGACGACAAUGAUGCACAGAAGCCCAGCAAGUUGGCAUUUGUGGAGAAGUUCCAGACCGAAGAAGUAGUCGAGAUCAGGUCCAGGAAUCUCCCGGUGUCGGGGGGCUCAGGCGCCCAGAGAGGGAUUGCUCAAGUGGAAACAGAUCAAGAACCAGAAGGAGCUCAAGAUUUUGCUACUUCCUUGGUAAUAGCUUUUAAAGUUCGAUUUUCCAGCAGCGAGGUAACUACUACCGGUGGAGAUCGAACUAAUGAGCUCACGAAAAAAAACUAUAGACAUCAAACAGCGAAGGAGGUUAGUUUUUACCUGAGUGGAAACAGUAGCUGUAUCGUCUUGCUAGAGCCUCCUUUGUCAUGGAAAGUCACCAGCUUCAGGGAGUGCCAGCACAGCCGGGACAGACGCCACCUACGGUGGGGAGUGACAGUGGCAACUGCGCGGAUUUGGCUCACCCAUAUGAGAAACGGCGGCGCCAUCUACCGAUUUUGUGGCUCUGAGCUCCAGCGGGAGCUGCUGGGCCGUCGGGAUGCAGAUGGAGCCGCUGCAACUCCGAGCUGCCGGGCCACCGAGAUGCAAAUGGAGCCGCAGCGCCACCGAGCUGCAGCGGGAGCUGCUCCACCGCCAAGUUGCAGUGUGAGCCACCGCGAUGAUGGAACCCAAGGUGCCCUCGUCCGCCUCCUCCAUCUGCUUCCUCACUUCACUUCAGUACGAGUACAGGGGAGAGGAAUGGGACGAAGACUGGUGGAUGGAAUCAAGACCAGCGGUCAUGCGAGACACGUGGUAGGCAUUGUGCUACAUGGUGGCAGCUCGUGAAGCAACAAUUGACGUGUGUUGUUGUCUCUCAGCACGUGUAUCUUGAGGGCAUGAUUGUAGUUUUCUUUAUCUUUGAGGUCUGUGAUGUUACUCAAACUGUCAGCCUUUUGGUUUCUGAUUUUAAUGAAAGCAGGGAGGCCCUCCUUGGGGCGCUUGAGUUUAAAAAAAAGACUAGCAAUCAACCACGGGGAAGAAGAUUAGGACAGAGCUGCAACAGAUAGAUUAGGGCAUAAUUGCAAUAGAUGUAGGCCCAUAUAGCGGCUAUGCUGGACAACAAGGUCGUUUUCAAUGAUGAUGACACGUGCAGCAAUAGCUGAAUUAAUGUUCAUCACUUCAAUGCGCCGAUAUGAUGUUUGUCUGGCUAUCUACUUUCCUUGCUAAUAACAUUGUAAAUAAUCAAUCGUAAGCUUGUUAAAACAUUA